GACGAACGCUGGCGGCGUGCUUAACACAUGCAAGUCGAACGGAAAGGCCCUGCUUUUGUGGGGUGCUCGAGUGGCGAACGGGUGAGUAACACGUGAGUAACCUGCCCUUUACUUUGGGAUAACUUCAGGAAACUGGUGCUAAUACCGGAUAGGAGCUCCUGCUGCAUGGUGGGGGUUGGAAAUUUUCGGCGGUUGGGGAUGGACUCGCGGCUUAUCAGCUUGUUGGUGGGGUAGUGGCUUACCAAGGCUUUGACGGGUAGCCGGCCGGAGAGGUUGACCGGCCACAUUGGGACUGAGAUACGGACCAGACUCCUACGGGAGGCAGCAGUGGGGAAUAUUGCACAAUGGGCGGAAGCCUGAUGAAGCAACGCCGAGUGCGGGAUGAAGGCCUUCGGGUUGUAAACCGCUUUCGCCUGUGACGAAGCGUGAGUGACGGUAAUGGGUAAAGAAGCACCGGCUAACUACGUG
rnacentral:rRNA from 1 species